UACGGGGGGGCAAGCGUUGUUCGGAAUUACUGGGCGUAAAGGGCGCGUAGGCGGUUGACCAAGUCGAGUGUGAAAUACCAGGGCUUAACUCUGGCAGGUCGCUCGAUACUGGUCGACUAGAGUGUAGAAGAGGAUGUCGGAAUUCCCGGUGUAGCGGUGAAAUGGCGUAGAUAUCGGGAGGAACACCAGCGGCGAAAGCGGCUUACUGGGUCUCUUCUGACG
rnacentral:rRNA from 1 species